UCUGUCCUACGGGGCGCAGCAGUGGGGAAUAUUGGGCAAUGGGCGCAAGCCUGACCCAGCAACGCCGCGUGAAGGAAGAAGGCUUUCGGGGUGUAAACUUCUUUUCUCAGAGACGAAGAAAGUGACGGUACCUGAGGAAUAAGCCACGGCUAACUACGUGCCAGCAGCCGCGGUAAUACGUAGGUGGCAAGCGUUAUCCGGAUUUACUGGGUGUAAAGGGCGUGUAGGCGGGACUGCAAGUCAGAUGUGAAAACCACGGGCU
rnacentral:rRNA from 1 species